GACGAACGCUGGCGGCGUGCUUAACACAUGCAAGUCGAACGGUGAAAGGGAGCUUGCUCCCUGGAUCAGUGGCGAACGGGUGAGUAACACGUGGGCAACCUGCCCCUGACUCUGGGAUAACGCUUCGAAAGAGGUGCUAAUACCGGAUACGAACUCCCUUGGCAUCUUGGGAGUUGGAAAGUUUUUCGGUCAGGGAUGGGCCCGCGGCCUAUCAGCUUGUUGGUGAGGUAACGGCUCACCAAGGCGACGACGGGUAGCCGGCCUGAGAGGGCGACCGGCCACACUGGGACUGAGACACGGCCCAGACUCCUACGGGAGGCAGCAGUGGGGAAUAUUGCGCAAUGGGCGAAAGCCUGACGCAGCAACGCCGCGUGAGGGAUGACGGCCUUCGGGUUGUAAACCUCUUUCAGCAGGGAAGAAGCGAAAGUGACGGUACCUGCAGAAGAAGCACCGGCUAACUACGUGCCAGCAGCCGCAGUAA
rnacentral:rRNA from 1 species